NNNCUGGUUGAUYCUGCCAGUAGUCAUAUGCUUGUCUCAAAGAUUAAGCCAUGCACGUCUAAGUACAAGCCGGCACACGGCGAAACUGCGAACGGCUCAUUAAAUCGGUUACGACUCCACUGGUGCCAGACAUCCAGGUGGAUAACGUGCGGUAACUCCGGUGCUAAUACAUGCAACAUGCUCCGACCCGGCUCGCGCCGGGAAGGGCGCACUUAUUAGGCGAAAACCAAUNCCUCCGGGCUUUGGCGGACGACACCCGAGUAAUUGCCGCCGAUCGCACGGCCUCGCNCCGGCKACGCAUCUUUCGAGUUUCUGAUCUAUCACGCUGACGACGGCUGGUGCUAUGCCAACCGUGGCGUUUACGGAUAACAGAGAAUCUGGGUUCGAUUCUGGAGAGGCCGCCUGAGAAACGGCUACCACUUCCAAGGAAGGCAGCAGGCACGCAAAUUACCCACUUCUGACACAGAGGUAGUGACGAGAAAUACCGAUGCGGNGNGNGCAAGCGACGUCGCAAUCGGAAUGAGUACACUUCAAAACCUUUAACGAGGAUCCACUGGAGGGMAAGUCUGGUGCCAGCAGCCGCGGUAAUUCCAGCUCCANUAGCGUAUAUUAAAGUUGUUGCAGUUAAAAAGCUCGUAGUUGGAUCUCGGGUCCAGGCUGGCGGUCCGACGCCUGUCGGUUACUGCCUGCUCCUGACCUACCUCCCGGUUUUUUCGCCCUUGGUGCUCUUGACUGAGUGUCUCGGGUGGCCGGAACGUUUACUUUGAAAAAAUUAGAGUGUUCAAAGCAGGCAAUAUCGCCUGAAUAAUGGUGCAUGGAAUAAUGGAAUAGGACCUCGGUUCUAUUUUGCUGGUUUUCGGAGCUCGAGGUAAUGAUUAAGAGGGACUGACGGGGGCAUUCGUAUUACGGUGUUAGAGGUGAAAUUCUUGGAUCGCCGUAAGACGAACUACUGCGAAAGCAUUUGCCAAGCAUGUUUUCAUUAGUCAAGAACGAAAGUCAGAGGUUCGAAGACGAUCAGAUACCGUCGUAGUUCUGACCAUAAACGAUGCCAACUAGCGAUCCGCCGGAGUUGCUUCAAUGACUCGGCAGGCAGCCCCCGGGAAACCAAAGUUUUUGGGUUCCGGGGGAAGUAUGGUUGCAAAGCUGAAACUUAAAGGAAUUGACGGAAGGGCACCACCAGGAGUGGAGCUUNCGCUUAAUUUGACUCAACACGGGAAACCUCACCCGGCCCGGACACUGCUAUGACAGACAGGUUGAGAGCUCUUUCUCGAUUCAGUGGUUGGUGGUGCAUGGCCGUUCUUAGUUCGUGGAGCGAUUUGUCUGGUUAAUUCCGAUAACGAACGAGACUCACGCCUGCUAAAUAGUGGCGGCCGCUCCGGCGGCUCGCGUACUUCUUAGAGGGACAAGCGGCGCUUAGCCGUGUGAAGCUGUGAGCAAUAACAGGUCAGUGAUGCCCUUAGAUGUUCGGGGCCGCACGCGNGCUACACUGUCGGCAUCAGCGUGACACCCGCGCCGAGGGGCGUGGGCAACCCGUUGAACCGCCGACGUGCUAGGGAUCGGGGCUUGCAAUUGUUCCCCGUGAACGAGGAAUUCCUUGUAGGGGCGCGUCAUCAGCGCGCCCCGAAUCCGUCCCUGCCCUUUGUACACACCGCCCCGUCGCACYUACCGAUUGAACGUUUCCGGUGAGACCUUGGGACCUGAUGUUCGUUGUUUCACGACAACUUACAAUGGGAAACUUGAGCAAACCUUAACGUUUAGAGGAAGGUGAAGUCGUAACAAGGUUUCCGUAGGUGAACCUGCGGAAGGAUCAUUA
rnacentral:rRNA from 1 species